rnacentral:rRNA from 1 species
UGGUUAAAAAGCUCGUAGUUGGAUCUCGGCGGACUGAGGGCGGUUUGCUUGCUAGUAUUACUGCCCUAUAGUCCGUAGUUUUGCCAGAGGUUUCGGGGUGCUCUUAAUCGAGUGUCCCGGGAUGCUGGCAGGUUUACUUUGAAAAAAUUAGAGUGCUCAAAGCAGGCUAUUACGCCUGAAUAUUCGUGCAUGGAAUAAUAGAAUAGGAAGUCGUUUCUAUUUUGUUGGUUUUCCGAAAUCGACUUAAUGAUUAAUAGGGACAGUCGGGGGCAUUUGUAUUCAAACGACAGAGGUGAAAUUCUUGGACCGUUUGAAGACAAACUACUGCGAAAGCAUUUGCCAAGAAUGUUUUCAUUAACCAAGAACGAAAGUUAAAGGUUCGAAGGCGAUUAGAUACCGCCCUAGUUUUAACCAUAAACGAUGCCAGCUAGCGAUCUGCGGACGUUUUUUUUGUAGACUCCGCAGGAAGCUUCUGGGAAACCAAAGCAUUUGGGUUCCAGGGGAAGUAUGGUUGCAAAGCUGAAACUUAAAAGGAAUUGACGGAAGGGCACCACCAGGAGUGGAGCCUGUGGCUUAAUUUGACUCAACACGGGAAAUCUCACCA